GUUUGAUUCAAGCAACGUCUGAACUCGAUCCCGGCCAGGUUGCCUCUGUGUCUGUGCACGGUAUCGUAAUCUCGCGGAGGUAGCAAAAUUGGACCCACGUCGUUGUCACCCGAGUUCCCUCUACCUGAAAACGAGAAAAUGUAAUUUCAAUUCCGAAUGGAUACGAUACGAUCCACGUUUGUACAACGUUUGUGCGUCGAAGAGAAAUAAAGGAAGUAACUCCGAAAGGGAAUACUCACCCAGCUUGGCACGCAACUCCGCGGCCAAGGACUCGUAUAUCGUGGUUGUCUGCACGGAAUCGUGUCUCAGUUCACCGCUGCCUUCCGACGACUCCGAUUCCCUGGUACUUCGACCGUCGCUCCCUAAAUUGCUACGAGCUCUGCCUUCCACCGAGUUCACCCUUGCCAAAUUGUCGGUGUGCGAUGCCAGCGCUUUCAACUGGCCGCCCAACAAUUCGGCCGUUUCGACCGAGUCGCAUCUAAAGUUAAAACAAUCAAAUCCGUAAGGACAGCUUUCGGAUCAUUCCCUUCAAAAUUAUUAUUAUCAUUAUGAUUACUUGUUCGAUUUGUUAGGUGGUUAAUUUGAAAUAUAAAAUUAAGAAAACUUUA